CACGAUUUGGAACAUAUGGAAAGAGAGGAAUCGAAGAAUUUUUCAAAAUGAGGCCAUUUCGGAAGAAGGAGUAGCCACCCUGAUCAAGAAUGAGUUAAGCCUCCAAAGGGAGGCAAGGCGAGAGUAGUCAGCUUUACUGGAGGCGUCUUUCUGACCGCCUCUCCUUUUGUUUGUUUUUUACUUUUUUUUUACUUUUGUUAACCUUGUACAGUUGUUCCCCCUUCUAUUUGAAUCGCAGUGAAUCCUGCUUGCCCGUCAAAAAAAAGAGUUGAGACCGCUAGCUAUUCAAUGGAUCCAGGGUAUGCAAAUCGUUUCCACAAAUAUUUGGGUACAAUAAUUUUUAAUAUAAUUGCAACUUCCUAGACUUUUCCACAAAAGUGAGAGAGUGAGUGAAAGCAGCAGAGGAGGCCGGGAGAAGUGAAUGGAGGAUCAUGUUCUUCUAUAACAAUAGAAGUACAGAUGUUUUCAAAAGUCAGUUACACACUCCAUUAAACUACACAAACCUCCACUUUUCCAUUACAGCUCAUUUGGCACUUCUCAUUUUAUUUCAUUCGGUAUAACU
rnacentral:lncRNA from 1 species